CAGGCACUUCCUCCUAAAGUCUAGGCUGACAUCAGGCUAAGGUGUACUGCCCACAGAAGCCUUAGUUCAAAUCCACCCUCCAUCUUUGGGAGCAUCUCCCUAGCCAACAGGGAGCAAGUGGGGGGCUUCGAAAGGGAAGAGCAGGUCAGUUUGCAUAUGGGAAACACUCAUUUGUCAGGGGUUCCUCUGGGCUCCUCUACCAGAUGAAGGCCUGCCAGAAAGAGGCUCUCCGUGGGGACCUUCUUCCCACCACAGAAGCACACGUACACUCGCGGCGUGAGUGCACACACACACACACACACACACACACACAGAGCAGUUAUCUCCUCAUCAAGUGUCUAUUGGGUAAAUGGUAAUCACUCAGACCUAACCUAAAAGGCCAAUGGGGGGGAGGUGGACCAUGAGAGGCCACCCCUUUCUCCCCAGGCCCCUCUCCCAGGUCCCUACCUCCCAGAGGCCACCUUUUCUCAUUCCUAAGACCCCAGAGAUAAGAUCCCCUCCGAACUCCUUCCACCCCAUUAUCUCUCAGUCAAACCCUGGGGGAGGGAGGGUGCUUCUGCACUUCCUUUCCCAAAGGUGUCCCCAAGACCUCACCCAGCUGUUUCCUAAGUGACAGAACAAACACGCAGGACAGACGCCCCUGGAGCAUCCAGGUCGCCCCAGAGAAGGCUUUGAGGAUGUCUGGGGACAACCUUGUGGGGAGGAAGUGGCAGCC
rnacentral:lncRNA from 1 species